UUUUGGGGUGGAAGCCUACCACUCAAUGCUAAAACAACACAAUUCAAGUGUUGGUACAAUUAAACUAUCAAUACUAUUAAAAGGGAAGGAGUUUAAAUAAAUCUACUUAAAAAAUAUUGUUUGGAUCCUUUCAUUAACUAAUAAUAUUUUGGUCUUACUUUGAUUUAGACAAACAAUAUCAAUAUUAUUAAAACAGUGUCACUGCUUUAUUUAAAACCUAUGUUAUUUAAUUAUAUUUAUUUUUCACUAAAUCUAUUUAAUUCCAAGAACUACUUAUUUUUAAAUUUCAUUUCUCUUCCAGCGUAGUUAGUUAAGAUAGCAAACAUAUAUUUUUUACUGUCAACACAAUACCUACCAGUUUAAAACAUUUUCCCUAUAAUAAUUUUCGUGUAUACUUUCAACAAAUUACUAUUAAUAUACAUUAACAAGACUGUUGUUUAUGAACAUUCUAAAUAUCAUUUUAGGGUUCGUUUAAGUAUUAUAAGAUCAUAUGAUAGGGCUAUAGAAUAUGUUUUAAUAACAUGAUAGUGCUAUACAAUAUGUAUUAAUAUAAAAGCAGUCGAGAUUUUUAUGCAAAAUAUCAUUUUACAACCAAAUUUUCCUGUUAAAAAAAAAGAAAAAAAUUCCCUGUUACUAAAUCCAAACUCAUGAUACCGUAUGACCUACAAAUACGCGACUUCAAAACUUUAAAAUAUUAUUGGAUUUGUAUAAUAUUUACCACAUUAAUGCUUAGAUAUCAAAAAUUGUACCCUUUUACACGUAUAUGCAAGCUAAUCUUCAAAGUAUCUACACUUAAACAAAACAGGAUUUCAGAAAUAUACCUAUCAAAUUCAGUCACUGUAGAAUACUUAAAAUAGUAUAAUAGAAAAUAUAACAAUACUUAAAUUCAUAAACUUUUAAUGUCUAUGAAUAGUAAAAAUAAAUUUUAAAUCUAAAAUAAAUGAAAAGUAAAGCUUUAGAAUUUUCGAUAAGAAAAAAAAAAGAAAACCAAUACCAAAACACAUAAAAUAUCAUCUUUCAAUUUAUUAUUUUAGGUGGUAUAGUGAAAUCUUCACCAAAAUCUAAAAAUCAUAAACAAAAUAGUUUAAUCGAUGUUAUAUGAUAAAAUCAGAAAGUUCAAUGCAAGUUUGGAAAUAAAACACAGAUUUUAAUAAUCAAAACUUUUUUUAAAAAAAAUAAGUAAAAUCACUUGCUGGUUCAGCCGGUGGUUCAACGGUUGUCAGGUUACCGGAUUUAAGGAUUUUUAAUGAUGUUAUCAAAUUUUUAAAUAAUGGACAUUUUCUAAAACCCAAACUGGAUUAUUUACUGAGUCACCGGGUUUAUCAAUUUGACCACGGGUCCGGGUCAGACAUCAAAACACUGCUCGAGACUCUUAAAAACUUUUAAGUAUCUAUUGCAAAAUCAUAAACUAAUAACAUUAAAUUUUAACAUAGUCUUGAAGAGUUUUAAUUGAAUAACACCAGAAUCACUAUAAAACCUAAAUCUUUAGAAGUGUAUAAAUAAUCUAUCCAAUAGCACCUUCUUAGUAACAUAUAGUUUCUUUGUUGAUUAUUUUACCUAAUUUUCCUUGAUUCAAUAUGGUGAGUUAAAAAAACUCGUGGUAUUCAAAUUUUACACAUCUACACAAAACACAUUGUGUACACAUGAAACGUAAUUGUAAGAUUAUUACUAUGCUAUAAUAUAAAUUUAUAAGUUAUAAAAUAAAGUAUUUGUAAGAGAGACAAAUCCCGCGCUUUAAAAGCGCGAGUCAAAAUCUAGUUACUAUAGUUAAACCAGUUGGACUAUUAUUACCGUAGUUCAAACAUCAAACAUAAAUGCUUAUGUAUCAUUUGUUGGCUCAACAUCUACUUUUUUGGUCUUGAGAGAAAAAGAUGGAGAUGAUUUUUUCCGUAAAUAGUACAACUAGUCUAACUAGUACGACUUGUAAACAAAUCAUAAUCUAAAUUAAAUAUUAUUAAAAUAUACCAUUCAUGUAUUUGACACAUGCCUGCGGAGAAAGAUUAGAACAACAUGUCUUAUUGUAUCUACAUCAUAAUUUUUCUACCAUCUUUAUACGCUAAAAACAAAAUAAAAAUCACCAUAAAGAUUGUACUUGUUAUACGUGUUUUAAUUAUAUUGAUUAUACUCAAUCUAUUUGUACUAAUUAUACUGGUUUUAGUUUUACUAAUUGUACUGAUUUGAAUUGUACUAGUUAACUAGUAAUACUAUGCGUUCAUAUUUAUCUUGAAUCUAGUAUUGAUUAAAUAUGACAAUGGAUCGACCGAUUUGGGAUAAGAAAUUAAAAAUUGGUGAAUGGUUAAAGAAAAGUUUUGUUUUUGUUUUAAGAGUCCUUAAGUUUUUUGGUUAUUUUAUAUAAUUUUUUUAGAACUAAAUAUAAAAGAAAAAGAAAGAAGCAUGUGUCAAUUUGAUUUUUUUUUAGACCUAUGUGGUAUAUUUUAGUAUUUGAUCUUAAAGAAUUGAACUUCUUGCCGUAGUUCCAAUCAUUAAAGGGUCUAGUAUGGCUCUUCCCACUCCAAUUCAUGAAUGAUAGAACCAAACCGAACAAGUCAGAUCUGACUUGGUUUAAUAAUUAACCAGAGCUGUUACGGUAAACCCAAUAACAAUACGUGGAUCCACUCUAGAACUCAUCGAGAGCUGGAGAACCGACAAUUCUAAGCCUAGAAGAUGGUCACGAAAGAAGAAGGAUCAACCCGAAGAACGUAGAUUCAAUGGUGGACAAUGAUGAACAGAGAAAAUUAAAGUUUAGAAUAUAAUAUUUUGUGUUUGAUUGAUUUUUGGUAAAUGAGAAAGAGAUUACAAAUAGAAUAGAGUUUACUAAACCAAAGGACUAAACCAUAAAACUAAGAACUAAACCAAAAGGAUAACCGGUUUAUCCUAUAAGAAGAGCCAGUUAAGUUUAUGAGCAUAGUGUAUAUGAUGAACCGUUAGCACUCGCACCACUCUUACAACAACAGAAAAUAACUUAUGCGAAGGGGCGUUUACGUAAAAAAAUGCAGAUUCCUUGAUUCGCUAAAACCUCUUUGUCCUUUACUCUCCUCCGAACCGUUUCCCAAAGCAUUUUUGCUUAAGUCGAUCCAUCUUCUCUGCGUUUCUCCUCGUUUAAGAAAUAAAAACCCUAAAGGCUCUUUAUUAAGAAGAAGACCCACCUCCUUAGAACUUGGUCCCACCGCUUUUCUCCGGCAAAAGAAACCCAUACACACAGCUUUGUUUGGAGUUUCCUUAUGGAUGCAGAGGUUAUGUUUGAUGGUACAGUUAGUUUAGAUUCUCAAGAUCAUGAUGAAUCAGUCCUUGUUGAUAAUAGUGUAAUUAAGGAGAAUCCGGAUGUUGAUUUUCUAGAGAAUGAUAUGAAUAACCACCGGUUAACUGUUUCAAGAUUCGUUAGUGAUACAGUUGAGACUCUAGCGGCUGAUAAGAUUGCUCAGACACAAGUGGAACUGUCGAGUUCUGAAGGAAACGAAACUUCGCAGUCUCGUUUGAUUCUUGACUAUGGGGAGACAUUGUUGGUGCAGGAAUCUUGUGGUUUGGUACUUGAGAAGGCUAAAGAGAUUGCUGGUCUGCGCCGGGAACUAGAGUUAAUUUCUAAGUUGCUUUCGGGUCGUGAAAAGGGAGACAUUAAGGCUCUGGAGGACCAUGAAGGAACUACUGAUAUACUGCAACGUAAAGUCUCUGGUAAGCAUAUAGGAUCUGUCACGUCAAAGCCUGAGAAUUUAGAGUAUUUAAGACAGUUACCGCGUGACGAGUUGAUCAACCAUUUUAAGACAGAGAUGAAUCAGUUGAAAAGAGAGCAUGAGUGCACAAUGCAAGAGAUGACUGAGGAGUAUUUUAGCAUUAAGAGAAGAUGCCUGAAACUAGAGGAGUGCCCUUCACUUUCUUUUUUGAACAAGGACAAGGAUUUUAAUGUGCUGCGAAAGAAGAUCCCUGAUAUCAUUUCGAAGCUGGACAAGGUUGUAUUGGAAGGUGAGAAGCUUAAAGGAAAGAACAAUGCUGACUCCAAGAGGGAAUUAGAUUUUCUGCUUCUAGAAAACAGUCAGCUUAAAGAUUCACUUUCAGAGGCUGGUGAGAAGGUGUCACAUCAUCGAGAGCUUGUCCGGAAGCUUGAAUCAGAUGUUGAGGAUUUGCAUGUUGAAGCCUCUAUCUAUGAAGAUGUAUAUAGGUCUUUUGUGGGAGAGUUUGUGAACCAGUUUCAGUGUGCAAAAGAAGAGGCUAAUUUGGAGAGAGAAGAAGCCUCUGGAAGCAAGAUUGCUCUUGAAGACUCUUGUGUGGAGUCCUACAUGAAAGAAGAGUACUGCGCAAUAAUGUACAAAGAAGCUUUGAAGGAAGCUGGUGAAAAGCUUGUAGAGCUGAAGAUAAAUGUAUCAGAAAGGGAACGAGCUAUGGGAUCGGAGAUUGCUGAGAAAGGAAUACUGAAAGAAAAGAUUCACUCGCUUGAAUGUCUUGUUAAGGAGAAGGAGAAUGAUUUGGAUACAGUGAGGGAGAAGCUAGAGAUAGUAUGUCAACAUGUUAACAAUCUGCAAUCUCAAGUUGAUCAGCAAGCAGUAGUGAUUCAAGAUCAAAGCAAAGAACUGGGAGUUGCCUCAUCUCGCGAUCUGGAAAAGACUAAAGGUUAUGUUAUGGAGAUAUCUGAGUUGAGACAGAAGCUUGAGUUGGCUAGAAAGGAUAUGAAGAUAACCGAAAAUGAGAGAAUGAAGUCUGAGCUGAAAUUAUCAUCAACACAAGCAGAGCAGAAACUACUUCAGGAUCAGAUUGUAUCUACGGUUCUGAGUCUUGCUAAAUGGAGUCAAGAUUUCGAGUGUUUGGUAGCAGAAAAGACGAAAAAGACUAACUAUAGGUUGAAAAGUAUGCAGAGCCAAUUAAAUGAUCUUAUAGAUGAAGUGGAUGAACUCAAGAUUAGAGAAUCGAUGUACAAGCAACAAAUGGAGAAGAAGACUUGUGACCUCCAAAAGGCUGAGACUGAGGUUGAUCUCCUUGGUGAUGAAAUUGAUUCUCUCUUGGACCUCCUUCAGAAAAUAUACAUAGCUCUUGAUCAUUACUCACCAAUUCUGAAGCACUACCCUGGCAUUAUGGAGAUCUUGAAGCUUGUCCAGAGGGAAUUGAGAAAAGGCUCGAAGAGAUUAUCAGUUUUCUGAUCUAGUCUUCAUAUAGUAAUCUCCUUUCUCACAAGUUUCAUUGCUUUACUGGUUGUCCAAGUCUACAUCAUCUGCCAGUGUUCACCUCUCUUCUUGUUUAGUAGGGUUGAUCUCGUUGAAGACAAAAUAGUACCUCUCUUGGAUCGUCGUAAGGAAUUUCUAUAACCCUCCAAUUCUAAAGCAUUAGAGAGCAUCUCAAGAAUGUUCAAGAGAUCACAAAUAAUAACAAGAACUGGAACUUGACAAUAACAAGAUUUGGCCUUUGACAAUGAGAUUUUUAAUGUGCUAUUGUACAUAUGUACCACAACAAGAGUAAAAAAUUGAUCACUAUGUCGUGUGCUAAAA